GUGUGUAUUUGUGUUUGGGAGUUGUGUCUGAGGUACAUGGAUCUCAGAGCGUUCAGCCUCUGUGUGUAAGAAUGUUCACAUUUCCAUGCUACAUCUAUAAAUGUAUCUCCUUCACUGCAGAAAGAGCACACCCUCUCACAAAAUGAGAAGUCAAUUAUAAACAGACAGGCCAUCAAAGCCUUAAACCUGCACAGCCAGAAGUAAUGAUGGAAACCAGCUUUCUUCUAGAAGAUUAUAUAAGCCUCUUCUAUACUUUUUCACUCUGGCUUUUUAAUUCUGCUGCUGGCCUACAAACAGUUUUGACAUUAUUCACCAACCGUCAUCCCAAACACCCAGAGAGGAAAUUUUAUCACACACUAUUAGUUGUUCAGAAUUUAGCAUUUGAAGCAGAGCGUGUUGUGUUGGCUGGUUCCUCAGUACUCAUCAUUCAACUAAAGCUAUCUAAUUCUAGAGGUGCUGAAAUUAAUCGAUUCAAGUGUGAAUCAGGAUUCUUAUUUAUAAAGGUUCAGAAUCGAUUCCCAAGAACUCAAAUAUUUGGCACGUUACAGGUUUGAGAUGCACUUUUUUGAUCUUUGUUAGGAGAGUCAGUACUUCGUUUACUUUUGUGGUCCCAUAAAUUGAGAUGAUUUAUGUUUGAAUCUGCUGAUUAGAGGGCACUUGAAUGUAUUUUUUUUCCAUACUCAGAAAUUUGAGAUAUUCUCAUAUUUAUUUUCUAAGUUGAUAAAUGAGUACUCAGGAUUACUCGUGUAACUUGUUUCUACACAUACUUGAAAAGUAUUUGACUGUAUUACUUUCAAAGCUACUGUUGGGUAACUACAGAUUUGUUAUAUUUUACAAGGUAAGCAAAAAUAUAUGUUGCCUUUUGGUCAAAACAUUGCUUCUGUUUACAGUUUUAGAAUCACUUUAUUUUACAUUGCAAAUUUGCAUUUUUGGAGCACGACGAGUUUAAAGUCAAAUAAAUAUGUCCCAUAGCUUUAUAGGGACAUUAUGGACGUUUGACAGCCAAAACAUGUAUAGAAAUUCCUUCUUCAUACAUUCUCCUGCAAUCUCCUGGUCCUGUAGAAUGAGCCCUGACAUUUUUACUGUGAUUGCCGGUUUUUCUGUAAAAUCACAGAAAAAGAGAGAUGCUCGGGUCGAGCAGGCUGCUUCAUGCGCGUUCACGCUCAGGCAUAGCCCGUAGCGUUUGCUAUCAGUAGCUUUAGCAGCAGAGAGUGAGGUAGUGCCAACUCAGCGACUUUGUCGCUGUUCCUAAUGCCUAGUGAUGAACCUAGCUACAUUUCAGAGGACCCUUAGCUACUUUCUUCUAGAUAUUUCCUGCAAAGCAACUAAAUAUCCAUUUUCGCUCCGAACCGUUCUUUGAACGUUGUUUCAGCUGUCAUCAAAGAUAUAAAUAUUACAGAUACAAAAGAUGUCACUGGCGCUUUAGCUCACCUAGUAAGACACUGGACUCUCGUGCAGAAGACCUGGGUUCAAUUCUGGAUGUGAACAUAGUUCAUUUAGAGUUUCUUUUUUACAUUAAUGGUAUAUUUUUUUACAGUAAGAUGCCCAAAUUUUUAUUUGAGACUCGCCGAACGUCACUGAAUUCACAGAUAAAAAAGAUGUGGGUUCAACUUUCAUUUUGGAACAAUUUUUCAAGCAAGGGAAGGGAAUGAUCUGAGCAUGCAGGAGGACUGACCAUCAUAAACCUUUGUCAGCUGUGCUGAAGAGAAAGUGUAACCCAGAAGCUAGAACCUUAAUGAGGUAUUAACUAAUUGGCUUACUAAUAUGAUCCAUCCUCAAUUUAGAUAAAAUAUAAAAUAUAAAUUAAGGAAAUUAACAAUACUAAUUAAUAGAUAUCUAAUUAACUAAUAGAUAAUUUCAUAAUGAAUUAUUGGAAGGGUGAAUAACUAAAAUAACGAGUUUAAUAUUAAACAUCGGUUAAAACAAGAAUCUUGAACAUCACUAACAGAAACAGAAGAGGAAAGCUGUAUACUAUUGGUCCAGGUGGGAAUCUGAAAUUUCAUUGGCUGAGAGAAAUAAGUCCCGCCUCCGCGAAAUAAAACCGUGCGACGCAGCUGAGCGAGAGGAGAGACAAACGGCUGUGCAGCACGCAGAUACAGAAAGCAAAGACUGAGCGGUUAGAGAGAGAGAGAGAGAGAAAAAAAAAAACAACGGUCGAGGCCGUGAAGAACCCUGAUUUGGGUGCCGCAUAGAUAGAGGGAGAGGCGGACUUGACUCCUUCUAAUAAGAGCUAGGAACUUGGAACCAACGCGGUGAGUAAAGAAAAAAGAAGAGAAAAAGCUAACGAUGCAACUUAAAAAAAAAAGAAGGAAACUUAAAUAGCUUAUCAAAUUAAUUCCAUUCUUAUAGAUUUGUGUGGAGACGACAGAGUGAACCAAUCCUCUGUAGGAGGGAACCGUUGGAGCGCGUUGGUGAGUGAAUGAGAUUAAAUUCAGUAAAUUAUUAAAUUCAAAAAGCUAAUUACAGCAACCGAGGUGACAGCAGUGGGCUGCUAGACGUUAGAUCCCAGGAGUUAACAUCUCAAACUACCAGUUAACGGUGGUAGGGCAUAUAGGAGUUAACGGCUCAAACCGCCAGUUAACGGCGGUACGGCCUAGAUGUACAAGGUCCUCAGGGGCGUUAUAGCUAACGCCAUAGAAUUAGCAAUGCGUCCCUUAACCAAACAUUUAAUAAUAAAAAAAAUAGAUAAAUAAAAAUAAAUAAAAGCUAACUGAUUAGGGAGGAAUUAUUUUACAAAGGUGGACCAAAGGACCAGAAUUUAUAUUUUGUUGAAUUUUGUUAUAGAACAUUUUAUUUAUUUAUUUAUUUAUUUAUUUAUUUAUUUAUUUAUUGUGUUACAGAUAUACAAGGUGUCACAAUGCUGUAUAGAAACACAACUAAAUGUAUCCUUGUUGUCAUGAAUGUAUUUCUUGUUGAAUAGUGUAGAGUAAUAGAAUCUAAGUGAGCCUAUUGAGCUGAACAAUUGUUGUCAUAUGUAAUUAUAUUUCCAGAGCUACUGAGAAUUAUUUUAAUAGACAAUCAAAUUGAUGUUAUGUUAGUUGAACUGUGAACCCAAACAUGAUUGGCUAUGCCAAUAGAGUGAAGCAUUUGUUUAAGUCUGUAAGACUUUAUGCUGUGAUGUGACGAGAAGGGUCGAUGCCAACUCGCUAACAGUCCUGUUGUUUACAGGCUGGGUUUUUUUUUUUCCUUGGGUUUGAUCCCGACUCCUAUGAUCACUCACUUGGAACGAGAACUGGAUUUCUUCCUGACGAGGGAGAUGGCGAGCCUUAACCACUGAACGAACCAGGACAUCUCAAGUAACUGAAGAGCAGACUGCUCUCUUCUGUGAACAAUCUCAACGGUGCGGUAGGAAAAAAUCGCACCACCGGACUCUGACUUUCACCCCAAGCGUGGGGAUUUGACUUGACGCCGGCUGACUUGUGACUCAUAUGAUCAAAUCUCAUACCGAGCAUUUUACUAUUGUCGAUUGUUUUCAUCUGUUUUUGUGUGUUAUCUUUAUGUGUUAUAUUUCCCAUUAUUAUUAAAAUUUAGUAUAUAAACCGUUUCAUGCUAUACCCGUGACUCCAGUCAUUCUUAAACAACCUCCAAUUCUCCCCGAACCUAAUUAUUGGCCCAUUUGUUUAUUUUUUCUUUUAAUUAUCUUAUUGUAUCCUGUAAUCCGGUUACAAAAGGUACAGAACCAAAGUAUUUAAUUAAUUAGCUGCACGUUCUCCUGUCCUCCGGGCCACACACACACACACACACACACACACACACACACACAAGGGACUGUCUCAGCCUGUUAUUUUCGUUAAAGAGCGGGUCAAUUGAGCCUCGGAGUCCUUCUCCACCCACGUAUCAAUUUUAAAAAUGCAACAUUAGUAGGCGUUGCCUGGAGGACCGAGAGGGCGGAGCCGCGGCAGUGACGAAGACGACGGCUAACUAGACGAUGCUAGCUCCCUUCACUCUAUGCAGUUAUUAGAAAUGGAGGAUGUUUCUCCCCCUCCUUACCCAGACACUCGAGAAGAAAGGGACCAAGUCUAUUUGGAGGAGACAAGCGGACCUGAGCCUUAUUGUUGUGAGCUUGUGAGUUGCCUGUAACUCCCAGAACCGACCCAACAGAACCACCUCUGAAUGUCCUCUGGUGUCUGCAGGUGGUCUCCUCUGCUGGUGUCGUCAGGAUCAGGAGCUUCCAGAAGAAUGUGCCUUUCAAUGACUCUUUCCCCCUUAUUUGUUAUAUUAAUUAAAUAAAUCUCAAUUUA